rnacentral:rRNA from 1 species
AAGAGACAGCAGUCGCCGCGGUAAUACGGAGGGGGCUAGCGUUGUUCGGAAUUACUGGGCGUAAAGCGUACGUAGGCGGCUUUGUAAGUUAGAGGUGAAAGCCUGGUGCUCAACACCAGAACUGCCUUUAAGACUGCAUCGCUUGAACGUCGGAGAGGUGAGUGGAAUUCCGAGUGUAGAGGUGAAAUUCGUAGAUAUUCGGAAGAACACCAGUGGCGAAGGCGGCUCACUGGACGACUGUUGACGCUGAGGUACGAAAGCGUGGGGAGCAAACAGGAUUAGAUACCCCGGUAGUCCCUGUCUCUUAUAC